rnacentral:tRNA from 2 species
CGGGAUGUAGCGCAGGGGUAGCGCACCUCGUUCGGGACGAGGGGGUCGGAGGUUCAAAUCCUCUCAUCCCGA